GGUUUGGCUGUUCGCCAAUUAAAAUCCUACGCGAGCUGGGUUCAAACCGUUCAGGAGUGGAUGCGAAAGUAUCAACUUUUGAACCCGUUUGAACUCCUCGAGACAUUCCAGAAACAAUCGUCUUUUCGUCUUUUAAGAUGUUGCGUCAACAAGACGUGACAUAGAAUUCUACUUACAUAGAAUUCUAUUAUGAACCAAUCACAUCACGGCGUCCGCUUGUAGCAAUACGUGCGGAAGGCGCUGACUUAUAUCGGUCAAAUCCCUUUGGGGUAAUACCGAGGGAACCCGUUCGAUCGCUUCGCGAUCUCAGGGCGAAUCGUAAACCGAUUCGUCCCGAGGAACGUAAUGACGAGGGACCCGUAGAGACUGAACGUCAGCUAUCUCGAAUGUCGAGAUAAAGCUACAGUCCGAUGCACGCAGUAAUGCGUGAAAACAUGCGUGAGACAGGUUGGUCUCCUAUCUACUGCAGGCGUUGAUUCUUGAGGAGAGCUCUGACCAGUACGAGAGGACCGUCAGGGACUGACCUCUGGUGUAUCGGCUGUUCCGCCAGGAGCACCGCCGAGUAGCUAAGUCGGGAAUGGAUAACCGCUGAAAGCAUCUAAGCGGGAAGCCAACUCCAAGAUGAGGAAUCGUUUGAGACUCGUGGGAGAUGACCACGUUGAUAGGCUUUCGGUGUACGCACGGUAACGUGUUGAGCCAUGAAGUACUAAUGUCGUCGAA
rnacentral:rRNA from 1 species